rnacentral:rRNA from 1 species
UACAGAGGGGGCAAGCGUUAUUCGGAAUUAUUGGGCGUAAAGGGCGCGUAGGCGGCUUGGCAAGUGGAUGGUGAAAUCCCUCGGCUUAACCGAGGAACUGCCGUCCAAACUGCUUAGCUUGAGACCGGGAGAGGUGAGUGGAAUUCCCAGUGUAGCGGUGAAAUGCGUAGAUAUUGGGAAGAACACCUGAGGCGAAGGCGGGUUGCUGGGCCGACACUGACGCUGAGGCGCGAAAGCCAGGGGAGCAAACGGG